AGUGGCGGACGGGUGAGUAACGCGUGAGAAUCUGCCUUGGGGUCGGGGACAACCACUGGAAACGGUGGCUAAUACCGGAUACGCCUUCGGGUAAAAGAUUAUUGCCCUAAGAGGAGCUCGCGUCUGAUUAGCUAGUUGGUGAGGUAAGAGCUCACCAAGGCAGCGAUCAGUAGCUGGUCUGAGAGGACGAUCAGCCACACUGGGACUGAGACACGGCCCAGACUCCUACGGGAGGCAGCAGUCGGGAAUUUUCCGCAAUGGGCGAAAGCCUGACGGAGCAAGACCGCGUGAGGGAGGAAGGCUCUUGGGUUGUAAACCUCUUUUCUCAGGGAAGAAGAUCUGACGGUACCUGAGGAAUCAGCCUCGGCUAACUCCGUGCCAGCAGCCGCGGUAAUACGGAGGAGGCAAGCGUUAUCCGGAAUUAUUGGGCGUAAAGCGUCCGCAGGUGGCGAUUCAAGUCUGCUGUCAAAGCACGGGGCUUAACUCCGUAAAGGCAGUGGAAACUGAAUAGCUAGAGUGCCGUAGGGGUAGAGGGAAUUCCCGGUGUAGCGGUGAAAUGCGUAGAGAUCGGGAAGAACAUCGGUGGCGAAAGCGCUCUACUGGACGGCAACUGACACUCAGGGACGAAAGCUAGGGGAGCGAAUGGGAUUAGAUACCCC
rnacentral:rRNA from 1 species